GGGUUGCUAACUCAACGGUAGAGUACUCGGCUUUUAUCCGACUAGUUCCGGGUUCGAAUCCCGGGCAACCCA
rnacentral:tRNA from 4 species